UACGUAGGGUGCAAGCGUUAAUCGGAAUUACUGGGCGUAAAGCGUGCGCAGGCGGUUGGGCAAGACAGAUGUGAAAUCCCCGGGCUUAACCUGGGAAUGGCAUUUGUGACUGUUCGGCUAGAGUGUGUCAGAGGGGGGUAGAAUUCCGACGUGUAGCAGUGAAAUGCGUAGAGAUGUGGAGGAAUACCGAUGGCGAAGGCAGCCCCCUGGGAUAACACUGACGCUCAUGCACGAAAGCGUGGGGAGCAAACAGG
rnacentral:rRNA from 1 species